AUUGAACGCUAGCGGGAUGCCUUACACAUGCAAGUCGAACGGAGUGGCGAACGGGUGAGUAAUGUAUAGGAACGUGCCCAGUAGCGGGGGAUAACUACGCGAAAGCGUAGCUAAUACCGCAUACUAUUGGAGCGGCCGAUAUCGGAUUAGCUAGUGGGUGGGGUAACGGCUCACCAAGGCGACGAUCCGUAGCUGGUUUGAGAGGAGGACCAGCCAAACUGGGACUGAGACACGGCCCAGACUCCUACGGGAGGCAGCAGUGGGGAAUGUUGGAAAAUGGGGGAAAGCCUGAUCCAGCCAUCCCGCGUGUGCGAUGAAGGCCUGCGGGUUGUAAAGCACUUUAGGCAGGAAAGCGGUACCUGCAGAAUAAGCACCGGCUAACUACGUGCCAGCAGCCGCGGUAAUUC
rnacentral:rRNA from 1 species